ensembl:snRNA U6 U6 spliceosomal RNA
GGAUUACAAUUCAAUUCUGAUUACUCACGUAAUCAGAGUAGAUUAACACGGCCCCUGCACAAGGAUGACACACACAUUCCUGAAAGUGUUCCAUGUUUUA